rnacentral:misc_RNA from 1 species
GGGAAAUAGUGAUGUAUAAGUUAGCAUGGUUGAAGGAGGAGGGUAGAGAUCUAAAUCAGGUCAAGUGUAUUAAUGAUGAUAAACAAGUUUUAUCGAGAGAGAACUCUAUCAAAGAGAGAUGAAGAUGUACUUUGAUCAUCUGUUCAAUAAGAGUCACGAGGUUGACUUUACAAGCCUUAUUGUUCCUUUGACAGAUAAGAACCUUAAAUACACGUAGAAUCAUGUUUCUUGAAGUUAAUAGGCCAUGGAUAAUAUGAAG